AUUGAACGCUGGCGGCAUGCCUUACACAUGCAAGUCGAACGGCAGCACGGGUGCUUGCACCUGGUGGCGAGUGGCGAACGGGUGAGUAAUACAUCGGAACAUGUCCUGUAGUGGGGGAUAGCCCGGCGAAAGCCGGAUUAAUACCGCAUACGAUCUACGGAUGAAAGCGGGGGACCUUCGGGCCUCGCGCUAUAGGGUUGGCCGAUGGCUGAUUAGCUAGUUGGUGGGGGAAAGGCCCACCAAGGCGGCGAUCAGUAGCUGGUCUGAGAGGACGACCAGCCGCCCUGGGCCUGACACACCGCCCAGACCCCGACGGGAGGCAGCAGUGGGGAGUUUUGGACAAUGGGCGAAGCCUGGCUCCAGCAAUGCCGCGUGUGUGAAGAGGGCCUUGGGGUUGUAAAGCACUUUGGCCCGGAAAGAAAUCUUUGCCCCUAAUCCGGUCGGGGGAGGACGGUCCCGGAAGAAUAACCCCCGCCUAACUACGUC
rnacentral:rRNA from 1 species